GAUAUCGACGAGUUUGUAUCAUGGCUCAGGAUGAACGCUGGCGGCGUGCCUAAGACAUGCAAGUCGAGUGGGUUUAGACCCACGGCGAACGGGUGAGUAAUACCUAGGAACGUCCUUCUAGUCGAGCAUAUCCAGCCGAAAGGUUGUGUAAUUCUCGAUGUGAUCGCAAGAUUAAAGUCGCAAGACGCUAGAAGUGCGGCCUGGGCACCAUCAGCUAGUUGGUAAGGUAAUGGCUUACCAAGGCUAUGACGGUUAGGGGCUCCGAGAGGAGUAACCCCCACACUGGGACUGCGACACGGCCCAGACUCCUACGGGAGGCAGCAGUUUGGAAUUUUGGACAAUGGGCGAAAGCCUGAUCCAGCGACGCCGCGUGGACGAUGAAGGCCUUCGGGUUGUAAAGUCCUUUUGCUCGGGAACAAUAUUUUGAGCGUACCGAGAGAAUAAGAGGUUGCUAACUCUGUG
rnacentral:rRNA from 1 species